UGCAAGUCGUACGAAAUUUUAACUCAGUGGCGGACGGGUGAGUAACGCGUAAGAAUUACCUUUAGGAGGGGGACAACAUCGGGAAACUGAUGCUAAUACCCCAUAUGCUUUCGAGUGAAAUGGAUUUUCCGCCUAGAGAGAAGCUUGCGUCUGAUUAGCUUGUUGGUGAGGUAAUGGCUCACCAAGGCGACGAUCAGUAUCUGGUUUGAGAGGAUGAUCAGACACACUGGAACUGAGACACGGUCCAGACUCCUACGGGAGGCAGCAGUAGGGAAUUUUCCGCAAUGGGCGAAAGCCUGACGGAGCAAUACCGCGUGAGGGAUGACGGCCUAUGGGUUGUAAACCUCUUUUUUCAGGGAGGAAUCAAUGACGUGUACCUGAAGAAUAAGCAUCGGCUAACUCCGUGCCAGCAGCCGCGGUAAGACGGAGGAUGCAAGUGUUAUCCGGAAUCACUGGGCGUAAAGCGUCUGUAGGUGGUCAAAUAAGUCAACUGUUAAAUCUUGAGGCUCAACCUCAAAACCGCAGUCGAAACUAUUAGACUAGAGUAUAGUAGGGGUAAAGGGAAUUUCCAGUGGAGCGGUGAAAUGCGUAGAGAUUGGAAGGAACACCGAUGGCGAAGGCACUUUACUGGGCUAUUACUAACACUCAGAGACGAAAGCUAGGGUAGCAAAUGGGAUUAGAUACCCCAGUAGUCCUAG
rnacentral:rRNA from 1 species